CGGGCCUCAUAAACCUGAUGCAGACCAAGAUCAAUUAUUCAAUUUGACUAUGUCCGUCAUCAACAAAAAACGGUGUUUGGACUGCCAAACUCGUUUGAUGACGACAAGAUUGAUGAAAACGUGCAACAGGAAACUGAUGAAAUUCUAAGCCUGGAAGUUAUGGAUGAGGAUAAUAAUGAUAGUACUACCGUGCCAGAUGUUCAAGAUCCCGAUUGGGGCCAUUUCAAAGUUGAUUUAUUGGCAACGCCUGUGAAUCAAAAAUUAAAAAGGAAACCAG